UGCUGCCGACGGAACGCAACACGGACGACAUACGACAUGGAUAUGCUUAUGUAUGUAUACAUUGCUGGCAAGGGUUGCCACAAAAGGGCAAAGUGUGUGGUCAUUUUGUUCGUAUGUAUAUCGUAUUACAUAAAUUAUCUUGUAGUUAGCUCUUGGAAAACACCUUUGAAUAGACCUCACUCAUGGCCUUAGCUAUUGGCUAACUAAACUGUCGAAUUUGUGUGCAUAUUUUUGAACUGAUCUUGCGAAAAGAUUCUAAUACAAACAACAACAGAAAAGGUUCUACAUAUAUCGAAUUUUAGGAUGAAUGCUUUGGAUUGAACACCAUCUCCGGCAGCGUCCUCUCGCACAGUUCCAUCUGAAUGCUCUUCAGGAUAUGAAGGAGUCUUAUUUUAAUCUCCAAUGCUCCAGGGCCAAUGCAGCCACUAGGAUCAGCAUCAAAGGAAAAAUACGUGGUGCUGCUGACGUUACUUCGGCGAGAAGCGUUCCGGAUCGAAUUGGUUCGGACUUGGCCUUUUGCAGGAAAUGUGUCUUUUAAAGAUACAUAUAUACUCUAUAUGAUCGUACCACGGGAUCCCGAUGGAGUCCUAGCACUGAGAUACAUGGGACCACCUACAACAGCAAUCCAGGAAUGCAGUGGGAAGAUACAGCCAGAAAUGUAUCCUAUAGCACCAUCUGUCGUUGCAAUCCACACAACUCUGAGUGUGAUGAUCACGUCGACACGUGGAAAGUCUGAACACAACUGUAGUCUUUUCCACCUUUUAAAGUGAAUUAUGCUUAAUUUUAGCUAACCAAGUAUGCUGAUUACGUAACGCAAACAGAAGCUUGAACAGGACUUAUAUUAACUCCAGCUGCUUUGAUUGUUCUUCACUAUUGGACAACUGCCAUUAAGUUUGAACUACAUAUAUAAUUGAAUUAAAAUAAU